rnacentral:rRNA from 1 species
GUGGGGAAUAUUGGACAAUGGGGGCAACCCUGAUCCAGCCAUGCCGCGUGAGUGAUGACGGCCUUAGGGUUGUAAAGCUCUUUUCUCCGGGACGAUAAUGACGGUACCGGAGGAAUAAGCCCCGGCUAACUUCGUGCCAGCAGCCGCGGUAAUACGAAGGGGGCUAGCGUUGCUCGGAAUCACUGGGCGUAAAGGGCGCGUAGGCGGCUGAUUUAGUCGAGGGUGAAAGCCGGUGGCUCAACCACAGAAUUGCCUUCGAUACUGGUUGGCUUGAGACCGGAAGAGGACAGCGGAACUGCGAGUGUAGAGGUGAAAUUCGUAGAUAUUCGCAAGAACACCAGUGGCGAAGGCGGCUGUCUGGUCCGGUUCUGACGCUGAGGCGCGAAAGCGUGGGGAGCAAACAGG